UGCCAGCAGCCGCGGUAAUACGGAGGCGGCUAGCGUUGUUCGGAAUUACUGGGCGUACAGCGCGCGUAGGCGGGCUGUUAAGUCGGGGGUGAAAUCCCGGGGCUCAACCCCGGAACUGCCCUUGAUACUGGUAGUCUUGAGUUCGAGAGAGGGUAGUGGAAUUCCGGGUGUAGCGGUGAAAUGCGUAGAUAUCCGGAGGAACAUCAGUGGCGAAGGCGGCUGCCUGGCUCAAUACUGACACUGAGGUGCGAAAGCGUGGGGAGCGAACAGGAUUAGAUA
rnacentral:rRNA from 1 species